UUUGGGUUGUAAAGCUCUUUCGUCGGGGAAGAAAAUGACUGUACCCGAAUAAGAAGGUCCGGCUAACUUCGUGCCAGCAGCCGCGGUAAUACGAAGGGACCUAGCGUAGUUCGGAAUUACUGGGCUUAAAGAGUUCGUAGGUGGUUGAAAAAGUUGGUGGUGAAAUCCCAGAGCUUAACUCUGGAACUGCCAUCAAAACUUUUCAGCUAGAGUAUGAUAGAGGAAAGCAGAAUUUCUAGUGUAGAGGUGAAAUUCGUAGAUAUUAGAAAGAAUACCAAUUGCGAAGGCAGCUUUCUGGAUCAUUACUGACACUGAGGAACGAAAGCAUGGGUAGCGAAGAGGAUUAGAUACCCUCGUAGUCCAUGCCGUAAACGAUGUGUGUUAGACGUUGGAAAUUUAUUUUCAGUGUCGCAGCGAAAGCGAUAAACACACCGCCUGGGGAGUACGACCGCAAGGUUAAAACUCAAAUGAAUUGACGGGGACCCGCACAAGUAGUGGAGCAUGUGGUUUAAUUCGAAGAUACGCGCAGAACCUUACCAACACUUGACAUGUUCGUCGCGACUUUAAGAGAUUAAAGUUUUCGGUUCGGCCGGACGAAACACAGGUGCUGCAUGGCUGUCGUCAGCUCGUGUCGUGAGAUGUUGGGUUAAGUCCCGCAACGAGCGCAACCCUCACUUUUAGUUGCCAUCAUUAAGUUGGGCACUCUGAAAGAACUGCCAGUGAUAAGCUGGAGGAAGGUGGGGAUGACGUCAAGUCCUCAUGGCCCUUACGUGUUGGGCUACACACGUGCUACAAUGGUAUCUACAACAGGAAGCAAAACUGCGAGGUUAAGCAAAUCCUUAAAAGAUACCUCAGUUCGGAUUGCACUCUGCAACUCGAGUGCAUGAAGCUGGAAUUACUAGUAAUCGUGGAUCAGCGUGCCACGGUGAAUGCGUUCCCGGGUCUUGUACACACCGCCCGUCACACCAUGGGA
rnacentral:rRNA from 1 species